UUAAAACCUCUCCCAGAUUUGCUGAUUUUCUGAUUAUAGAAAAGAAAGAAAAGGCUAUUUUCACUUUCUGGAAUGACUGAAGAAAGCAUUCAACUUUGUUGAGCCUAAAUUUGUGGAUAACUGUUGAACCUUCCCAUAUGGAAUAUAUUUAAAUACUCUCUGAGCCUGUUGUAUUCUGCUCUUUUUAUUUUCAGAAAAAGGAAUUUCCAGCCAAAAGCAGACUCUGUGCCCUAACAAAGAAUGUACUGGGUAUACUGGGCUGAACAAUAUAAAAAUGAACCUGAAGUACUAUUAAUAUCUCUCUUUCUUUGACCAUGUAUGAAUUCUUCAAACUAAAGGGUUGUAGAGAAAAACCAUAGUAGCCUAAAAUUUCCAGGGAUUAAUACAAAGUUUAUUGAAGAAAUCUCCCCCAAAGAAAACUAGCUUCUCCCAGUUUAUAAUGUCCUCCUUCUUCUCAGGGACCCUCUUGACAGACACACGUUCGUGAAUAUAAAGAACUGGAAAGGGAUGUGCACCUCUGCAUUUGUUUUUUUCUUUCUUCAUGGCUUAGCUGUAAGAAUGAUUCACCUCUAUGCUUUCCUCCCUCUGAUGUCCUCCAGACUUCUUCAGAAGUCGAUGACCAGAGAGAAGGUGGUGAGGAUAUACAGUAUCACAACAGGAAAGUUUCUGGAGAUCAUCUAAUAAGUAAGUGCCUAGAUUCUAAUCUAAGCCUCUAAUUUUCCAUCUGGGGACACUGAGGUUCAGUGAA
ensembl:lincRNA